rnacentral:rRNA from 1 species
AUUGAACGCUGGCGGCAGGCCUAACACAUGCAAGUCGAACGGUAACAGGAAGAAGCUUGCUUCUUUGCUGACGAGUGGCGGACGGGUGAGUAAUGUCUGGGAAACUGCCUGAUGGAGGGGGAUAACUACUGGAAACGGUAGCUAAUACCGCAUAACGUCGCAAGACCAAAGAGGGGGACCUUCGGGCCUCUUGCCAUCGACGGGGCCCAGAUGGGAUUACCUGGUAGGUGGGGUACGGGCUCCCCUAGGCGACGAUCCCUAGCUGUUCUGAGAGGAUGACCAGCCACACUGGAACUGAGACACGGUCCAGACUCCUACGGGAGGCAGCAGUGGGGAAUAUUGCACAAUGGGCGCAAGCCUGAUGCAGCCAUGCCGCGUGUAUGAAGAAGGCCUUCGGGUUGUAAAGUACUUUCAGCGGGGAGGAAGGGAGUAAAGUUAAUACCUUUGCUCAUUGACGUUACCCGCAGAAGAAGCACCGGCUAACUCCGUG